UCACGUUUUUCUUACUUCCUACUCUGUGCUAAGUUAGGUUUUUUGCAGUUUUGAACUAGAAUAGUUUUGAAAAAUGUCCGAGUUGUUACCGUUCAGUGAUGUUCAAACUAAUCAAAUACUGUUGAUUGCUGGAUACUUUAAACGUGAGCCCAAGAAGAAGGCUGGUAACGUAACAGCGGAAUAUUCAAGAAUCUUACAAAGAAAAGCACGAAAGUACAUCGACGAGUGGCUUAUGAAAGGUGUCCCACCAGUUACGUUUGAUAAAUUAGCAAGAUCAGCUCCAUGGAUUUUUGAAAAGUUUGAGUUGACAAAGUCAGUAGUUCAAGAAAACAUAUCCACCCAGCCAUGUCAAUCGACAUCAAAGUCAACACCUGUUCCAGGAAACACAACUACACUUAAUGGCUACCAUACAUAUACCAUACAUACCAUACAUAAGGAAACAGAUUAGGUCCUCGCGAAUUUUUCUUGAAUUGUUCAGUGUUUUCAUUGCAGAUUCAACAAAUUUUUGAAUGGUAAAUCCACAUCCUUUCCACAAAUUCCUUUGAAGGAAUGUUCAGUCCUCCACGAUCUAGUAGGUCAGACUUUGCUAAUUAUUUUGUAAACAUUAAAUAACAUUUUAUAUUGCUAUCUAUUUACCACCCGACUAGCUUUAACACUUCGAGAUAGGGGAAGAGUCCCAUCCUUUAGUUAGAGUAUAGUCCAUGCCUCAUGUUAGUUUUUUUUGUAAGUAAGAAGGGUUUGCAUGUGCCAUUGAAUAAGCCACAAAAGCUGGAUUAAGUGCAAUUUCAUUAAAAGGUUUCACAUUAUAAAGUAAGAAUAAGAGGAAAAAUCGGAAUUUCAACGGGUUACCUUGUGAAAGGCAAGAAAUUAUCGGUUUACCAACGGAAUAAAAUUAUGUCUUUUACCAAUCGUUUUUACCGUUUAACGUUUUUUUUGUUUGUUACCUUCUCUAUUCAUCCACUCCUGCAAUCGUCAAUUGAAUACCUCCACUUAAAAAGAGCAACACGUUCCAGAAAAUUUGGCAAUAGAACCGAUGGAUGAAGAUUUCUAUCUACAAGAUCCAUCUCAAGAAGACACUUCAUACAAUAAAGACGAAAUUGCGGUGCAUCAACUGACUGCUCCACAACUCAAUGCUGCUGAAAACCCUCGUCGAACGACCCAUCAACACAAUUAUAGUGCGAGGUAAAAGAGAUCUCUUGACACCACCGCAAUAAUAAACUAGUUCAAAAUGGUCAAUCUCAUCGUUGCUCACCAAUCAUUCGAGCCCCAAAGCUACAAGGAGGCGUAAGCCAUGCCUUACAGAGGCAUUAAAAUAGAUUUGGAAGCGACUGGAGACAAAAGGCUGUGUAUGCGCAUUUUCUAAUCUUAUAAACUUGAACCCACUAAUUCGAUUGAAUUACUUAUGUGCAGACGAUCAUCCACGAAAUCUAUUCACACGACGACUGUCCCAUUUUUCAUUAUAGGGAGAUGUUAUAAGAGAAUUUGUUGGUGAUAGAAAAUUAGGGAAAUUAAGAAUUUUAGUUAGUUUUAGACCACGGCCGAACGAGAAAUCAACGAAAAUGUUUUGUUCUGAAAGACGCACUUCGGACCGCGUAACUUAAAUUUUAAAUAAUUUAUUGUCUUCAAUAAUUAUCCCGUCUGACAACGUUGGCAACAUGUACUUGAAUCUUUCAAUCAUUCUGUUCCUUAACUGCUCCACAGGCAAAUUUCCAGAUAAAAUCGCGUUACGGAAAAAACCUUGGAAAUUUUCAAAUGCAUCUGCGCUGUUCCAAAAAUCCACCCAACAGCAGUACGGAAUACUGCAGUAGCAUAGCGUUGCAAAGAUGGUCUAGUUUUGGUCGUCUCGUAAAAUGCCAUCAAUAAUAAUAGCUGGAUAAAGAUCUUCAUGAAAUCUCUUAGCUUGUGAUGUUUUUACUUUGAAAAACAGUUAGAUAGCAAUCUCAAAUAUCUAUCAAAUUAUGAAGGUUUACAAAGCUUAAACAACGCAAUCCUAUGGUCUACUGCGAUAAGUUGAAUAGUCUGUAGUUUACCCUCUCUUUUUUUAACGGAUGCAAUAACAGUCUAUCUCCUACCAAUGGCACCCGCUGUAAAUGUAAGCAUUAGGUUAAUCACAACACCCAAAACCAUGGGAAACUCAAUGUCGUCAAAUGGGGUAACGCCCUCUCCUUAACUCUAUGAUCAUCAAUGGAAUCUGCUACUAAAAAGCAAUAGGAAUUAGUGGU
rnacentral:misc_RNA from 1 species